CUUUGGGAGGAACUUAGUGCGGGGGACGGGGGGCACACGUGGCGGGAGGAUACCUGGAGAUGUUGAGUUGAGUCUCUCGGAUGAGAUGGUCCAGCCUUCUGAAGGCACCAAAAUCCCAGUGGGGGUUGCUGUUGUAGAGAUGCUGCUUCUGAUAGACAGGGUAGUGACUGGAGGCUCGCUCUGGGGAGAACAGGGGCAGAAGUGCCACUAUUGAAAUAGCCUGGCUUCAUAUACUUUCCAGACUAAGAUGCAGUGUGGAAUUAGGCUCCUUCUGGAGAGCAAAGACAUCACACAGGAGGUGAAGGGAGGGCAGGAAAAUGGACACUAAGCUGAGAAGCCAAAGAGGCAGAAGGCUGAGUCAAGGAGGGGAAGGGGUCAGGUGGGGCUGGGCUCCAGGGAACAAUAGAUAAUGGGGGAAAGGACUUGAGGAAAAAGAGGCAAACAGGAUCUGAGGAAAAGAGGAGUCAAUUUAUUAUUUAUUUGUUUAGCAUAUUUUUAUACCGCCCCAAAUGCAAGUUCUCUGCGUGGUUUACAAGACAAUAAAAACAACCAAUAAAAAGAUUAACGUAUUUCAACAAUUAAAAUUUUAGAAGUUAAAACUAUUAAAACAAUAUCUAAUUAAAAGCCUGGGUGAACAAAUGCGUCUUGACUGCCUUUUAAAAAGUUGUAAGAGAUGGGAAAGCUCUUAUUUUAGCAGGAAGCGUGUUCCAAAGCAGCAAUGGAGAAGGCCGUCGCCGAGUAGCCACCAGACGAGCCGGUGGAAACUACAGACGAACCUCUCCAGAUGAUCUCAAUUGGCGGUGUGGUUCAUAGCAAAGAAAAGGUCAGGCUAAAGAAGAAGUCAAGCUACAACCUGACACAGGACUAGGGAGAAGAGGAGCUAUAUGAUAAUGGAGUAUAACCACCAGUUGUUGUAAGUCUGUGCAGGAGGCUGAUUGACAGCAGGACCGGAGAAACCCCUGCAGAAGAGACCAGGAAACCCUGUUUAGAAUGGAGGAUGGAGCAGACAAAGCCAGAGAGACAGUUAAAGUCAGUUGAGAGCAGAGAAGGUAGACUGGUGUGAAAAGCAAGAACUUGUUCAGGGGAAACCCCUACAGACCUCAGGAGAGGCUGUGCAGUACCUCUGAAACAAGCAAGGUACUGUCAGAGGUACUGUCUCUCCAGUACCUCUGAAACAAGCAAGAUACCUGAACCCCAGUGUGGAGGAAGUCUGUCUUCAUCUAUGUAAGCCGUGCCAUCUUCUUGUAACCUCUACACUUUUGAACCCGAAACCAAUAUGCUUCUGAACUACUUGAACUUAUAACCACCAGGCUGAAAAAGAACUAUCCUUGAAUACAACGCCUGUUAUUUGUUUUAUCAAUUGCGUUUAUUUCCUCUACCACACCACCAGAAAAAGACGACUUUCCUCAGCUACUACAGAGCAAAGAGUGGAGGAAAGAUGUGACUUGGUCUCAGGUCCGGUCAACAGAUAUGAGCAGUGGCAGCAAAAAGCAAAAAGGUGGUGGCAGCAAUAAGGUCCACCUUGAGCUUGAGCUUUCGGAGAUGAAAAAUGUAAUGGAUUCAUCAAGACAGACUGGAGUAGCUCCUGCAUUGCUCCUAAACAUGCCACUCUCAUGGCCCGCAGUGACGUCAUAGCUCCAGGGUGGGACAGCCGAAUGGUGUCAGAUUUAGAAAGCAUGCCACUCACCGGGUUUGGAUGUUGAAGAGCUUCCGCAAGGGAAACAUCCAGUCUGAGCAGGGAGAUGGUUGAAGGUCCCAGCUGGGCAAGGGUAGCAUUCUUCCAGGUGCUUUGCACGGCUGCUGUUCCCAUAAGUGCCAGGGGGGCAUGGCACUGGGGCAGGGGUCUCGGGAGGGCAAUAAUACCCUUGAGGGCAGGGCUGCUGGAAGUAACUGGCAGUGCCUGGGGAGGGAAACCAGUGGGAAUUCCUUAGCACUAGAAGGCCGUGGGAGGAUCUUUCCUGGACUUAAGUAUACACUUUAACAGGCAACUGCUGACCAGUUUAUCUUUGGGCAGCUGCUAAGCAGGGCCUGGAAUCAUUCACUGCAUCACUUGCAGGGAACUUGAAGAAGUGAUAUUGUGAUGAAAAGAGAAUGGAUUGUGGGCCAGCUUCUCCACUCCAGCCUCAGGUAGCACUGUUUGCAAACCCCACACCCACAGCUAUGACUCCUGCCUCUGGGAUGGCAACUCCAAGGCCAGCUGGUAUAACUUCCACUUAAAGCAGGGGUUUUCAAACCUGGGUCUCCUGAUGUUGUUGGACAACUCACACCAUCCCCAGUCACCAUGAAAGGUCACUUUGGCUGAGGAUGAUGGGAGUUAGACAGACAGACAGACAGACCUUAUUAUGGUCAUUGACCAGUGCAGAUGAUGGGAGUUGUAGUCCAACAAUAUCUGGAAGGCCAUGGCGGCUGAGGAUCACGGGAAUUGUAGACCGAUACUAUCAGGGGACCCACAUUUGAGAACUGCUGACUUAAAGCAUCUCACAAAGCAGAGAAGGGAAAGAUUCAGGAAAGCAGCUGGCAGGCAGUGUCCAGACAAUGUUGGAGAGGCAAGACCAACAGUUCAAGACAGCUUCAUAUGCCCACAUCUAAAAUGACUUUGGAAACUCCCCUGAUUUUCAAAAGUGGUUGCGGGAGGAGGCUGUUCUACAAGAACCACAAAUCCAGAGCCCUUUCGGGUACACAGAAGAACCAGCCACAUUGUUAUUUGGAUCCUGGCCCAAAUAUGUAGGGUGGCAUUUCUCGUAGGGAAGCUUUUAGGACGGCUUCCUCCUGCACCCUGAAGAGGCAGCAGUGUGCAGAAGCCAAACUCUGCUGCAUGACAACUCUCCUGGGUCACAGCACAGAAUAAUCACCUUCUGGACAGCUGAAACCUGGUGGGCAGGGCAGACAGGGCUCCAAGCCAUGGCUGGUGCUGCCACCGUAGGUGCCUGCUUCACAGGGCCUGCAGCUCUUCUCAAAAGAGUCCCGAAGGCCUGUCGUGUUCAGGGGUGUAAAUCCAGCUUGGCAUAAGAGUGGGUGGGCACUGCCAAGAGGGCAAUAGUGAGGAUGGGUACAUCUGGAAACAGAAGCAGUAGGGAAUAGGAACAGUAAGAAAAUGGCUUCUUCCAAAGGUUUAUGAAAAGUCUACCAGAAGGUUACAAGUUCGAUCCUGACCAGGGGCUCAAGGUUGACUCAGCCUUCCAUCCUUCCGAGGUCGGUAAAAUGAGUACCCAGAAUGUUGGGGGCAAUAUGCUAAAAUCAUUGUAAAUCGCUUAGAGAGCUCCGGCUAUAGAGCGGUAUAUAAAUGUAAGUGCUAUUGCUAUUGCUAUUGCUAUUGCUAUUGCUACCCUGCCCCUGCCCCCUCCAGGCAUUGUGGGAAUUGCCUCUGCUCAGAGCUCAAACAAAUACUUACUUAUAUCCACAAAUCUCCACAAUGUUCAUUAACUUCAUUUUGCCAUUCAAGUUUUACAUGCAAAAUUGCAGUUUGAAAUUCAGAUCCGGAAUGAAAACACUGCUCUUUGACCUGGUGACCCCCAGCUUGGACAAUCAUGCUGAGAUGGGCCUCACCUUGAAGUUUACAUCCAUCUGACACUAUCAUCACACACAGAAUGGUGUGGGAUUCUGCAACUCUGAUAGGAAAUCAUUUUAUGGAAAGCACACAGGUUGCGAGAGACAACACAGAUCAUCAGCGCUUGGUUCUACAGCAGGAAUUUUUGAGUUGAGAAGUUUUCACUGCACAUGAAAGUGAAAUAUACUCACAAUUGUCCCGGAGCGUCAUAUGUAGCUGACCCUUCAGGACAGGAAUAGCCACCGGGACACAGAGGUGGGACCCCUGUAAGAGGCCCACAGUAACAGCCAGGUCGGCAUAUGGAUGGAUCAGAUGAACCUGGUGAGGAAAAUAAAUCUCUGAGCCCAUGCAACAUUCUGGGGGACCGUAAAACUCACCGUCUUCUGUGCAGGCAUCACAAUGCAAUUCCAAUGUGCAUCUUUCAUGGUCCAACAGAUAGGACAUUAAAAUGUUGCAAAACUACGAUAUAAGAGAACAUAUAUUAAAAGACGAUCUGGAGCUGGUUACUCAUUUAAUGACUGCAGCCAGAAUGUACACAUCCCCUACAUGGAAAAAUGCAACAUUACCUACUACUGAGGAUUGGCUGAGUCAUUUGUGGUCUAAGAUUUGUGAAGAAGUCCACAUAUUCUAAACAUCCAAAAGAGAACAAUACAAUGGACAAAUAUAUGCAAGUGAGGUUUUAUUUAUUCCGUAUUGGAAUGAUAAAUGUGAAGAUCGUGUUUCUUCACAUUUGUUUUCUCUGCCAUAAAGAUAUAUUCUCAUGCAUUCUUAAAAAUGCAAAGAAUUUAAAAAGCAGUGUAACUAAGUUAUAAACAAAUAGGCCAAUCCCGUGAGACUCACUUGGCAGCAACAAGUAGCAACAUCUCACCUGGUGGGCAUUCAUAGCCCGGUUCGCAAGGUAUCCCAUGGAUGUUUGGCACGCCUGACUUUGCUGGGUCUGGGCAGUAAAAUCCAGCAGGGCAGGGGCUACAUUCCUCCAGAGACGUAGCACCAGGCUGAGUCCUAAAGGAACCAGCGGGACAAAGGAAAGCAUCCUCCGCUCCUGGACACCAGUGCCCUGGGGCACAGGGGUAGUCUCCAGUGGCCCCUGUUGGAAGAAAGAAGGGAAGCCAGGUGAAGAGAAGAGAAAAAGGCCCACUACAACAAUCUCUGCACAAAAACUGUUUGCAAAGGUGUGAUGUUUCCUGGAUCCCCUGUGACUCCAAAGCCCCUCUUUAAAGUUCUUCCCCCAUACAGAAAAAUAAAAGUUAUAUAAUGUU